rnacentral:rRNA from 1 species
UACGUAGGGUGCAAGCGUUGUCCGGAAUUAUUGGGCGUAAAGAGCUUGUAGGCGGUUUGUCGCGUCUGCUGUGAAAUUUCGGGGCUCAACCCCGAACUUGCAGUGGGUACGGGCAGACUAGAGUGUGGUAGGGGAGACUGGAAUUCCUGGUGUAGCGGUGAAAUGCGCAGAUAUCAGGAGGAACACCGGUGGCGAAGGCGGGUCUCUGGGCCGAUACUGACGCUGAGGAGCGAAAGCGUGGGGAGCAAACGGG